UACGUAGGGGGCGAGCGUUGUCCGGAUUUAUUGGGCGUAAAGAGCUCGUAGGCGGUUCGAUAAGUCGGACGUGAAAUCUCCACGCUCAACGUGGAGGGGCCGUUCGAUACUGUCGUGACUCGAGUCCGGUAGGGGAGUGUGGAAUUCCCGGUGUAGUGGUGAAAUGCGUAGAGAUCCGGAGGAACACCAGUGGCGAAGGCGACACGCUGGGCCGUACCUGACGCUAAAACGCGACAGCAUGGGGAGCGAACGGG
rnacentral:rRNA from 1 species